CCCUUAGAUGUCCUGGGCCGCACGCGCGCUACACUGAUGCAUGCAACGAGUUUAUAACCUUGGCCUGAAAGGUCUGGGUAAUCUUUUGAACGUGCAUCGUGAUAGGGAUAGAUUAUUGCAAUUGUUAAUCUUGAACGAGGAAUUCCUAGUAAACGCGAGUCAUCAGCUCGCAUUGAUUACGUCCCUGCCCUUUGUACGCACCGCCCGUCGCACCUACCGAUUGAAUGGUUCGGUGAAGAUCUCGGACUUCGAUAUUUAUUCUUUAUUGAGUUUAUAUUGUGGGAAGUUAUCUAAACCUCAUCAUUUAGAGGAAGGUGAAGUCGUAACA
rnacentral:rRNA from 1 species